rnacentral:rRNA from 1 species
AACGAACGCUGGCGGCAGGCUUAACACAUGCAAGUCGAGCGCCCCGCAAGGGGAGCGGCAGACGGGUGAGUAACGCGUGGGAAUCUACCCAUCUCUACGGAAUAACGCAUGGAAACGUGUGCUAAUACCGUAUACGUCCUUCGGGAGAAAGAUUUAUCGGAGAUGGAUGGGCCCGCGUUGGAUUAGCUAGUUGGUGGGGUAAAGGCCUACCAAGGCGACGAUCCAUAGCUGGUCUGAGAGGAUGAUCAGCCACACUGGGACUGAGACACGGCCCAGACUCCUACGGGAGGCAGCAGUGGGGAAUAUUGGACAAUGGGCGCAAGCCUGAUCCAGCCAUGCAGCGUGAGUGAUGAAGGCCCUAGGGUUGUAAAGCUCUUUCACCGGUGAAGAUAAUGACGGUAACCGGAGAAGAAGCCCCGGCUAACUUCGUGCCAGCAGCCGCCGUAAUAC